rnacentral:rRNA from 1 species
UACGUAGGGGUCGAGCGUUGUCCGGAGUUACUGGGCGUAAAGCGUGCGCAGGCGGCUUCCUGCGCCCGGCGUGAAAGCCCCCGGCUCAACCGGGGAGGGUCGUCGGGGACGGGGAAGCUUGAGGGUAUCAGGGGCUGGUGGAAUUCCCGGUGUAGUGGUGAAAUGCGUAGAGAUCGGGAGGAACACCCGUGGCGAAGGCGGCCAGCUGGGAUACACCUGACGCUGAGGCACGAAGGCGUGGGGAG